GGGAAUGUAGCUUAGGGGUAGAGCGCUUGCCUAGCAUGCAUGAAGCCCUGGGUUCGAUUCCUCAGUACCA
rnacentral:tRNA from 1 species